UGGGGAAUAUUGGACAAUGGGCGCAAGCCUGAUCCAGCAAUGCCGCGUGGAUGAAGAAGGUCUUCGGAUUGUAAAGUCCUUUCGGCGGGGACGAUGAUGACGGUACCCGCAGAAGAAGCCCCGGCUAACUUCGUGCCAGCAGCCGCGGUAAUACGAAGGGGGCUAGCGUUGCUCGGAAUUACUGGGCGUAAAGGGCGCGUAGGCGGAUGAUUUAGUCAGGCGUGAAAGCCCCGGGCUCAACCUGGGAAUUGCGCUUGAAACGGGUCAUCUUGAGGGCGAGAGAGGGUGGUGGAAUUCCCAGUGUAGAGGUGAAAUUCGUAGAUAUUGGGAAGAACACCGGUGGCGAAGGCGGCCACCUGGCUCGCACCUGACGCUGAGGCGCGAAAGCGUGGGGAGCAAA
rnacentral:rRNA from 1 species